UACAGAGGGUGCGAGCGUUAAUCGGAAUUACUGGGCGUAAAGCGCGCGUAGGCGGCUUUGCAAGUCGAGUGUGAAAUCCCCAGGCUUAACCUGGGAACUGCAUUCGAGACUGCAUGGCUAGAGUAUGGGAGAGGGAAGCGGAAUUUCAGGUGUAGCGGUGAAAUGCGUAGAUAUCUGAAGGAACAUCAGUGGCGAAAGCGACUUCCUGGACCAAUACUGACGCUCAUGUGCGAAAGCGUGGGGAGCAAACAGG
rnacentral:rRNA from 1 species